UACGAAGGGGGCUAGCGUUGUUCGGAAUCACUGGGCGUAAAGGGCGCGUAGGCGGCCGCUCAAGUCGGGGGUGAAAGCCUGUGGCUUAACCACAGAAUUGCCCUUCGGAUACUGUUUGGCUUGAGACCGGAAGAGGUGAGUGGAACUGCGAGUGUAGAGGUGAAAUUCGUAGAUAUUCGCAAGAACACCAGUGGCGAAGGCGGCUCACUGGUCCGGUUCUGACGCUGAGGCGCGAAGGCGUGGGAGCAAACAGG
rnacentral:rRNA from 1 species